rnacentral:rRNA from 1 species
GAUGAACGCUGGCGGCGUGCCUAAUACAUGCAAGUAGAGCGAACGGACGAGAAGCUUGCUUCUCUGAUGUUAGCGGCGGACGGGUGAGUAACACGUGGAUAACCUACCUAUAAGACUGGGAUAACUUCGGGAAACCGUAGCUAAUACCGGAUAAUAAUUUGAACCGCAUGGUUCAAAAGUGAAAGACGGUCUUGCUGUCACUUAUAGAUGGAUCCGCGCUGCAUUAGCUAGUUGGUAAGGUAACGGCUUACCAAGGCAACGAUGCAUAGCCGACCUGAGAGGGUGAUCGGCCACACUGGAACUGAGACACGGUCCAGACUCCUACGGGAGGCAGCAGUAGGGAAUCUUCCGCAAUGGGCGAAAGCCUGACGGAGCAACGCCGCGUGAGUGAUGAAGGUCUUCGGAUCGUAAAACUCUGUUAUUAGGGAAGAACAUAUGUGUAAGUAACUGUGCACAUCUUGACGGUACCUAAUCAGAAAGCCACGGCUAACUACGUG